rnacentral:rRNA from 1 species
GAGUGAGCGAAGAGCUCAAUUUGAAAUCUGUUUGCUUCAGCGUUCCGUAGUGUUUUCUGUAUAGCGCCUUGGGGCGGCCGUUGUCUUAGUUCCUUGGAAAGGAGGUCAUAGAAGGGUGAAAAUCCCGUCGAUGAGAAGAGCAUUUGUCUUUUGUGAUACGUUUUCAAAGAGACUAGUUGGGU